rnacentral:rRNA from 1 species
UGGGGAAUAUUGCACAAUGGAGGGAACUCUGAUGCAGCGACGCCGCGUGAGUGAUGAAGGAAUUCGUUUCGUAAAACUCUGUUCUAUGGGAAGAAAAGGACUGUACCAUAGGAGAAAGCUCCGGCUAAAUACGUGCCAGCAGCCGCGGUAAUACGUAUGGAGCGAGCGUUGUCCGGAAUUAUUGGGCGUAAAGGGUGCGCAGGCGGCUUUACAAGUUGGAUGUGAAAUAUUGUGGCUCAACCACAAACGUGCAUCCAAAACUGCAAAGCUUGAGUUAAGGAGAGGUAAGGGGAAUUCCUGGUGUAGCGGUGAAAUGCGUAGAUAUCAGGAGGAAUACCGGUGGCGAAGGCGACUUACUGGACUUAAACUGACGCUCAGGCACGAAAGCGUGGGGAGCAAACAGG